rnacentral:tRNA from 1 species
UGCAGUGUCGUCCAGCAGUUAGGAUAUCUGGCUUUCACCCAGGAGACCCGAGUUUGAUUCCCGACAAUGGAA